rnacentral:misc_RNA from 1 species
GGAAUAGGCACCAAGGCAAAUCGAGCUAGGAAAGAGUAAAGGGAUCUGAGAAGAGAGAGGAGAAGAAAGUGCACAGAGAAGAGAAGCAUAUAACUAAAUUUAGCUCCGCAACAUUUCAGGCAGAAGCAAGGCAACUUUAACUCAGAUUAUUUGAUGGAAGGGUUGGCGCGUUCACAAAUCAACCCGAUUCAUGCUACUUUUAGACAAUACCGCUCUAGUUUUGUUCCAGCUUUUUCCCUGCAGUUUAAAAAUAAUCUGACUAGCGGUGGAAUUUUGUUUAUGAAACCUUCUCAAUCAUGCAAUUCUAUUACUGCUUCAGUUCAACCUUUAAAAGCCUCCUCACUGGGCCACUGCAACAAUACAUUGCCAUCCAAAGAGGUUCUUGAGCUUUGGAGAAGUGCCGAUUCAGUAUGCUUUGAUGUGGAUAGCACGGUAUGCCUAGAUGAGGGUAUUGAUGAACUUGCAGAGUUUUGUGGAGCUGGAAAGGCUGUUGCAGAAUGGACUGCUAAAGCAAUGGGUGGUUCUGUUCCUUUUGAGGAGGCCUUGGCUGCCAGACUAUCUCUGUUCAAACCUUCCCUAUCUCAGGUCCAAGAUUUUCUUGAGAAGAGGCCCCCAAAAAUCUCUCCUGGCAUAGAUGAGUUGGUCAAGAAGCUGAAGGCUAAAAAUACAAAUGUUUAUUUGAUCUCGGGAGGCUUUCGACAAAUGAUCAAUCCUGUUGCAUCUAUCCUUGGGAUUCCACCUGAAAAUAUAUUUGCCAACCAAUUACUCUUCGGAAGUUCUGGGGAAUUUCUGGGGUUUGAUGCAAAUGAGCCGACUUCAAGGAGUGGAGGAAAAGCAACUGCAGUGCAGCAAAUAAGGAAGGUUGGUCUAAUACAUAUAAGUUUUAUGUAUGAUUUAUAAGAGUUCAUCUACAGCUGCUUAUGAUGAUAAGCCAGGUUCAUGGAUACAAGGCUCUGGUUAUGAUUGGGGAUGGUGCAACUGAUCUUGAGGUAAAUAAUCUCAUUUGAACUUUCAAAUUGUAAAUCAAAUCAUUGUUAUAAGAUUUUGGAAUACCCGGAAAUUUCAGUUCCACAUGUUUUCCUCUCUGACAUUUCUGCAUAAAUGUUAUAAGGAAAUAAUUUACUAUAUGUUGUCAAUUCUAAACUCAUAACCUAUCACAAGAAACGUAGACUGCCACAGCUCAAGGUACUUUCAGUGUUUUGCCAAUUUAGUUGACAAGAUGUAUGGUAGUAUGACAAAUGACAAAUGACAAAUGACAAAUAAAUGAAGUUCUCGUAGUUUUUAUUUUUUAUUUUUAUUUUAUGCUUCAACAAUUAGAUUAUUCCAAUAUAUCUUUUUCAUUAUUUAUUUAUAUGU